rnacentral:lncRNA from 1 species
CUAGAACCCAAGUCUCUGGCCCCCAAUGCAGGACUGUUUAGAAACAGUUUCACCUUGCUCAUUUUCUGAACCGGCUUGCUCUCUGUUCUCAAUCACAGAAACACCAGAGGCUUUCGCACGAUCCCUUUUUCCUGAAACUGACUCUGCUGAGGAUGUGAUGUGGAUACGGGUGAGUUUAGCUCAAGUUGUUGCCCCAGAACAGCUGGCUUCUCUGACUGAAGCCUCCUGGGUUGGAGCAGCUGGAGGCUGAGCUGGAGGUGGAGGGGAAGAAGGAAAAAUGUCCAUCCAGAAGAGGAACUGUCGGAUAAAGCUCUCUCCGCUGUAGCCCUGGCGAGAGGUUGAUAAGCCGUCUUCGGGGAUGUGCAGGGAGUGUCUGGCCCUGCUUCCGUGCAGAACCAUGACUCAGGACUAUCGUUCACAUCCUCAGGAUGGCACAGGGGCUAAAAAUAAAUCGUGAAAUGCCACCCAAGAAGACCUGAUGAGGGGACCGUGGCGGUGGGAAGCCUCAGAGGGUCGAAAGCUAGGAGCCCAGAUGGACGGGUGCCUGUGCAGCUGGGAGAAGGAAGAGAGAAAGAAGCAAAGAAGACGAGGAGGCUGUGUGCUGGACCAGGGGCACAUGGAAAGAGAGGAAGAGAUGGAGUCAGACAGCAGCUGAUACAGGAGAGGCAGUGCAGGAAGCACAGUCCCGAGGAGGAGAUGGUGUCUGUGGCACUGUGCAGCUGACGUUUGAAACAGCAAAACAGGUUCUUAUCAAAUAUCUGGAACACAGAAGAGCUUAUUACAUGUUGUGUGGAUGGAUUAAGCUUGCUAAGCUAUUUGGAAACAGGAAGAAAAAGCGUGCCCGGAAUUCGGAGACCACCCAUGGAAAGGCACGACCUCCACUGGGUGUUCAGGACUUGAGGUGGUCAGUAUUUCUGCUCCUUCCCAGCAGACCAGCUUGCUCCCACUCAACCCCAUGGCUUGCCUUCUCUUCCUUGGAAAUCUUACAUGCAUCUUGUUGCCUGACCAUCCC